UACAGAGGUCUCAAGCGUUGUUCGGAUUCAUUGGGCGUAAAGGGUGUCGUAGGCGGCGCGGUAAGUCGGGUGUGAAAUCAUCGGGGCUUAACUCCGAAACUGCAUUCGAUACUGCCGUGCUUGAGGACUGGAGAGGAGACUGGAAUUUACGGUGUAGCGGUGAAAUGCGUAGAUAUCGUAAGGAAGACCAGUGGCGAAGGCGGGUCUCUGGACAGUUCCUGACGCUGAGGCACGAAGGCCAGGGGAGCAAAACGGGG
rnacentral:rRNA from 1 species